CCUACGGGUGGCAGCAGUGGGGAAUAUUGCGCAAUGGGCGAAAGCCUGACGCAGCGACGCCGCGUGAGGGAUGAAGGUCUUCGGAUCGUAAACCUCUGUCAGCAGGGAAGAACGGUCACUGUGCUAAUCAGCAGUGAAUUGACGGUACCUGUAAAGGAAGCACCGGCUAACUCCGUGCCAGCAGCCGCGGUAAUACGGAGGGUGCGAGCGUUAAUCGGAAUUACUGGGCGUAAAGCGCUCGUAGGCGGUAUGUCAAGUCAAGGGUGAAAUCCCCGGGCUCAACGUGGGAACUGCCUUUGAAACUGGCAGACUGGAGUGUGUGAGAGGAUAGUGGAAUUCCAGGUGUAGGAGUGAAAUCCGUAGAUAUCUGGAGGAACAUCAGUGGCGAAGGCGACUAUCUGGCACAUAACUGACGCUGAGGAGCGAAAGCGUGGGUAGCAAACAGGAUUAGAUACCCUGGUAGUC
rnacentral:rRNA from 1 species